rnacentral:rRNA from 1 species
GAACGAACGCUGGCGGCAUGCCUAACACAUGCAAGUCGAACGAUUGCCUUCGGGUGAUCGUGGCGCACGGGUGCGUAACGCGUGGGAAUCUGCCCUUAGGUUCGGAAUAACAGCUGGAAACGGCUGCUAAUACCGGAUGAUAUCGCGAGAUCAAAGAUUUAUCGCCUGAGGAUGAGCCCGCGUUGGAUUAGGUAGUUGGUGGGGUAAAGGCCUACCAAGCCGACGAUCCAUAGCUGGUCUGAGAGGAUGAUCAGCCACACUGGGACUGAGACACGGCCCAGACUCCUACGGGAGGCAGCAGUGGGGAAUAUUGGACAAUGGGCGCAAGCCUGAUCCAGCAAUGCCGCGUGAGUGAUGAAGGCCCUAGGGUUGUAAAGCUCUUUUACCCGGGAAGAUAAUGACUGUACCGGGAGAAUAAGCCCCGGCUAACUCCGUG